UGAAAUAAAUUUGUUAGUCUCUAAGGUGCCACAAGUACUCCUGUUCUUUUUACUGUUGAAAAGGACUGCCUGAAAGCUCGGUAUCUAUGCAAUUUAUAAUGAGUUAUAAAAUGCCAGCCAUCUGAUUGGGUAUAUUUCCCAUUUCAAUAAAUUUCUCUGGACUAGAUUGAGGAUGCUGGUUCUGUACUAUGCCUGUUUCUGAAAUAGUGCACGUUUAGCAUUUUAGUUUAUAAUAAAUGCCAGCACAAGCUGCUGUCCUGAAUAGCUUUCUCCUAGAAGAGAAAAAACCCCUCUUGAUCUACAGUACUGCUAGUUUGUGUGGCCAUAGUAGUAAGAGUGCCAGAUGUGUUAGACUCUACUUCUGGAUUUGUAUUCUAAAAAGAGAAAAUGCUGCCUUUUAUGCCAAGAAUGAUCAAGAACCUCCACAUUGCAUUUGGUCUGUAUGGUUUUGCUCCCCAUAUUUCAAGAAAACCUGGGUAGAAAGCCAGUCAUGGCAGUGGUCUUCAACCUUUUCGUCUGGCAGGCUCCAGACGAAGGACCGUGGUGGUGGUCAAGCAUCCGUCAAAAUGCCACCGAAUUUCGGCGGCGAUGCCUCUCGAUGUUGCUUGUCAGCGGCAAGCAGCGUCAUCGAGAGGCAUCGCAGCCAAAAUUGGGGACCUCUGAGUCAUGGUUUCAGUGGAAUACCUCAACUUAACUUUUCUGUAUGUUUCAUAAUAUGAGGAGCUCUAGUAUGAUUUUCGUACGUUUACAGUGAGAGAUGUAUCUUCAACUAUGUGAAAUGGAAACAAUUGCUGAAACAAAGUUCAAAUUACUGCAGAGUAACCACAAUAGUGGAUGGAGGAAGCAGUAGAUGUGAUACAACUGAACUUUAUUAAGGCUUUUUCAAACAUAGGCAAAACAUUCAGCAUGGAAAACUGCAACCUGAAUGGUUAUAAUUUGGGGGCCAGAAGCUUCAAGGCAGACCUUGCCAAACAAAGACCACCGGCUGAAAGAAUAACACCCAUUUAUCUGCAGCGUCAAACUAGAAUCUUCAGAGAGAAGGGCUGCAGGAUUAUUAAAGGGCCAGGACUGUAAGGUUAUUUGAAGCCAGAGUAACUCCUAUACAAAUUAAGUGGGCACAAAAUAUCCAGCUGAGAACCUGCGAGAAUGCGAGUACCCUGAGGUUCCAGCUCUUCCACAAGGCCAGUGGAAAGAAAAACCCUUCUGAAACAAGUGAAGUUUCAUUAUGAAAAAGGAGAAAUUUCCACCUCUCAAAGGAGAUGGCACCUAUGAGAAAGAGUAAUGGUGGCACAUUGGAGAGUAGGGGCCUGCAGUAGUAAUGCAAAGAGGGAUGCAAAUCAGAGAUGUAUUUCAGGGCUGUGAAAACUGGAAGAUGGAGCUGGUGCUCCUGGUCAAUCUAUUGGUGCAAGGCUGUAGGUAAGAAGGUGACUGUAGCUUGUUGGAGGGUCAAAUGUGGGAAGUGAAUGAUUUGAUUCUAGGGUUGUGGAUUGGGAAGUGUUGCAGGGAGAUAGGGGUCCAGUAGAGGAUUAUCGUGUGGAAUGUAGGAGUUGGGAGUGUUGGCAGUUGGAGGAUGGAGGUUAUCUGAAGGAAGCUGAGUUUUUGGAUUGGCAUAAGGGCUGGAGAUGAUUGACAGUUGUAACCACUCAUUUUUUCCUGCCAAAAUGGAUUGUUCUUUCUUUACUAAGGGCUUUUCUACACUUAUCGGAGGAUCGACUCUGCUGUGAUCGAUG